AAAGUCUUAAGUUAAGAAAACUGUAGUCCUUCAAAGUCUAAAUUAAAGAUGCCUACUUUAGACUUUA
rnacentral:tRNA from 1 species